rnacentral:piRNA from 1 species
UGUAUUUGCUUGUCGACUUUGGG